rnacentral:lncRNA from 1 species
UGAGGAUUUUGAUGUUGAUUACAAAGUGUCUUCAAGGGCGAUUGACAGUGAAAAAGAGGCCAUGUUGCCUGAGGAAUGCUAAUUAUCUGAAUUAAAAUCAAUUAGCAUGUAUAUUUAUUAUUGAAUUUCAGAUUUAAAUAUUUGCAAAAUGUUCAGCAUCAUAUCACUGAUAAAUAGCAUUUCAAUUAAAAGCCUGCUGAUGUGUUAAUUUGACAGAAAUUCAAUUUGUUCACUCAGAGGGUUUGUGGCCUCUGUCUUGCAGAUUCAUGAGACCGUGGAGACCAUCAACCAGCUGAAGACCAACCGAGAGUUUUUCCUCAGCUUUGCAAAGGACCCCCAGCAGUUCAUCAGCAAGUGGCUGGUCUCUCAGAUGCGAGACCUCAAGACAAUGACAGACGUGGUGGGCAGCCCCGAAGAAGAGCGCCGUGCAGACUUCUACUACCAGCGCUGGGCCCAGGAGGCAGUGUGCCGCUACUUCUAUGGCAAGGUGCAGCAGCGCCGAGCCGAGCUGGAACAGGCACUCGGCAUUCGCAAUGCCUAGUUCCCCACUAAUAAAGAGAGACUAGCCCAUCA